rnacentral:rRNA from 1 species
UACGUAGGGCGCAAGCGUUGUCCCGGAAUUAUUGGGCGUAAAGAGCUCGUAGGCGCUUGUCACGUCGGGUGUGAAAGCCCGGGGCUUAACCCCGGGUCUGCAUUCGAUACGGGCAGGCUAGAGUGUGGUAGGGGAGAUCGGAAUUCCUGGUGUAGCGGUGAAAUGCGCAGAUAUCAGGAGGAACACCGGUGGCGAAGGCGGAUCUCUGGGCCAUUACUGACGCUGAGGAGCGAAAGCGUGGGGAGCGAACAGG